ACGCUCGACACCUACGGGAGGCNGCAGUGGGGAAUAUUGCACAAUGGGGGAAACCCUGAUGCAGCGACGCCGCGUGAGCGAAGAAGUAUUUCGGUAUGUAAAGCUCUAUCAGCAGGGAAGAAACUGACGGUACCUGACUAAGAANCACCGGCUAAAUACGUGCAAGCAGCCGGCGGUAAUCUGAGCGGGCUGGCAAGGC
rnacentral:rRNA from 1 species